AGACUUUUCACUUCUGUUAUGCAUACACUUGAUGGUACAGAAAAAAGUGAAAAAAAUAUUUGAACUGAAAGAAAAAAUAGCAGGUUACAUGUGACAAAGAGUCUUAAAUUAUAAUUUUAAAUAGUAUGCAUUAAACUCCUGAGGGAAAAUAGAAAAACUGAGACCACAAAUUCAGCAAAGGAGUUAUGUUUUAAUUUUAGUAUAGUCAUUUCCAAAGCCCUUCUUUAACUUGGAAGUAUAUGCAUAGAGUUUUUUGCUCUUUAAAUCUUAUUUGUGCUGAAAGUAAAAUAAUGAACACUGGAAUCUAUUAAAAAAUGUAAUGUUUAUACAGUACUUUUUUGAAAAAGUACUGUACAGAACAGAAAUUUUAAACAGAAAUUCUAAACAGAAUUUCUAAAGAACAGAACAGAAAUUCUAAAGAAAACCCCUGGUUAUACCCAAAUGUUCCCUUCCCCCUCCAGUCUUGGAACAUAUUACUCAAGUUGUUUUCCUCUUUUUUCUAAUUUUUGUCUGCACUUUCAACCUCCUGACUGGAAAAGAAUCUGAAUACUCUCAUGAAAUAAUGAAAAAAAAAAAAGGAGUUUUAAUACUUCAACUUCGAAGAAUGAGGAAACAAGGAAAAGGUGUAUCUGAUGUGACUGAUGGAUUUGAGUGCCUUGACUUGAAGGUGUAGACCACAAGACUGCAUUGCCCUCAUUACUCUGAUAAAAGCUGAGGUGGCAGAAAACGUGGGGUAGAGUCUUUCAUCCUAACAUAAAAAGUCCAUCUUUCACUGAGAAUGCCCACUAUUGUCUUCAAGACUGAAGUUCAACUUCUGCAAGGAAGAACUAUGACCAGGAGCUCCUGUGAUGUGACUGCCUUCAUUUGUCACGGUGGGAGAUUGGUAACCAACAGUGGAAAAGUAUUCUGUCAAAGGAGUACCUUUAUGGAGAGGAAUAUGAGCCUGGGGAAGAAUUGCUGCGGUCAGUUCCUCAAUUAGUGCUUGAAAUGAUUCCCUCUCUGUCCCCAGGAUAUGUUCGAAUAUGAAGAACAGAUUCAGGAGGCAAUUGCAAAAGACAAAGAACAAUAUCAAUUGAGAUUUUGGAUAUACUUUAUUCUUGAAAAGAAAUAUUGAGAUCCCUGGUCUGUAGUUUGGAGGAACUCUUCUUUGACCCCUUGGUAUUGCAGGGCCUACUAAGUGUCAGAAUAACACAUAAUUUUUA
ensembl:lncRNA